rnacentral:rRNA from 1 species
UACGGAGGGUGCGAGCGUUGUUCGGAGUUACUGGGCGUAAAGGGUGUGUAGGCGGUUUUCUAAGUUUGGUGUGAAAUCUCCCGGCUUAACCGGGAGGGUGCGCCGAAAACUGGGAGACUAGAGUGCGGGAUGGGAGAGUGGAAUUCCUGGUGUAGCGGUGAAAUGCGCAGAUAGUCAGGAGGAACACCGGUGGCGAAGGCGGAUCUCUGGGCCUUACCUGACGCUCGAGGUGCGAAAGCUAGGGGAGCGAACAGG